GUGUCAGCCGCCGCGGUAAAACGUAGGACGCAAGCGUUAUCCGGAGUUACUGGGCGUAAAGGGCAGGCAGGCGGGCCGGUAAGUUGGUUGUGAAAUCUCCCUGGCUUAACCGGGAGGGUGCAACUGAGACUGUCGGUCUGGAGGGCAGCAGAGGAGCGUGGAAUUCCGGGUGGAGUGGUGAAAUGCGUAGAGAUCCGGAGGAACACCAGAGGCGAAAGCGGCGCUCUGGGCUGCACCUGACGCUGAACUGCGAAAGCCAGGGGAGCGAACGGGAUUAGAUACCCCUGUAGUCC
rnacentral:rRNA from 1 species